rnacentral:rRNA from 1 species
GACGGAGGAUGCAAGCGUUAUCCGGAAUGAUUGGGCGUAAAGCGUCCGCAGGUGGCAGUUCAAGUCUGCUGUCAAAGACCGGGGCUUAACUUCGGAAAGGCAGUGGAAACUACACGGCUAGAGUGCGUUCGGGGCAGAGGGAAUUCCUGGUGUAGCAGUGAAAUGCGUAGAGAUCGUAAGGAAGACCAGUGGCGAAGGCGGGUCUCUGGACAGUUCCUGACACUGAGGCACGAAGGCCAGGGGAGCAAACGGG